rnacentral:rRNA from 1 species
ACGGGUGAGUAACGCGUAAAGAACUUGCCCUGCAGUCUGGGAUAACAGACGGAAACGACUGAUAAAACCUGAUAUAAUCAAGCCCACGCAUGUGGUGCUUGAUGAAAAGAAAUGCUGCAGGAGAGCUUUGCGUCCUAUUAGCUUGUUGGCGGGGUAAUGGCCCACCAAGGCAAUGAUAGGUAGCCGGCCUGAGAGGGUGACCGGCCACAAGGGGACUGAGAUACGGCCCUUACUCCUACGGGAGGCAGCAGUGGGGAAUAUUGGACAAUGGACCAAGAGUCUGAUCCAGCAAUUCUGUGUGCACGAUGAAGUUUUUCGGAAUGUAAAGUGCUUUCAGUUGGGAAGAAAAAAAUGACGGUACCAACAGAAAAAGUGACGGCUAAAUACGUGCCAGCAGCCGCGGUAAUACGUAUGUCACAAGCGUUAUCCGGAUUUAUUGGGCGUAAAGCGCGUCUAGGUGGUUAUGUAAGUCUGAUGUGAAAAUGCAGGGCUCAACUCUGUAUUGCUCUUGGAAACUGUGUAACUAGAGUACUGUAGAGGUAAGCGGAACUACAAGUGUAGAGGUGAAAUUCGUACACAUUUGUACGAAUGCCGAUGGGGAAAUCUGCUUACAUACACAGAUGUAGAAGCCGUAUCUCGAAAUUGUCUGUAACUCAUAGGCUUAAAAUGACUGGCAAAAACACGGUGUACACA